UACGUAGGGGUCGAGCGUUGUCCGGACUUACUGGGCGUAAAGGGUGGGUAGGUGGCUAGCGAUGUGCCGUGUGAAAGCCCCGCGUUCAUCGGGGGGAGGUCGCGGUAGACACGCCAGCUGGAGGCAGCGAGAGGGCGGUGGAAUUCCCGGUGUAGUGGUGAAAUGCGUAGAUAUCGGGAGGAACACCAGUGGCGCAAGCGGCCGCCUGGCGCUGACCUGACACUGAGCCACGACGGCGUGGGGAGCAAACGGG
rnacentral:rRNA from 1 species